GAUGAAGAACGUAGCGAAAUGCGAUAAGUAAUGCGAAUUGCAGAAUUCCAGUGAGUCAUCGAAUCUUUGAACGCACAUUGCGCCCGUUGGUAUUCCGAAGGGCAUGCCUGUUCGAGCGUCAUUAUCACCCCUCAAGCCCUCGGCUUGGUGUUGGACGGUUUGGUGGAGGCCCCCUCGGGGGCUCCUGCCCCUCCCAAAGACAAUGACGGCGGCCUCGUUGGACCCCCGGUACACUGAGUUCUUCACGGGACACGUAUCGGACACAUGGGUUUACGGGACACGGUCUGCCUCCCCUCAGGGAGAAUCUUUCUAAGGUUGACCUCGGAUCAGGUAGGGAUACCCGCUGAACUUAAGCAUAUCAAUAAGCGGAGGA
rnacentral:misc_RNA from 1 species